AGUGUUCAUUGCGCAGCGUCGCAAGUCGCAACCCUCGCCAUAAAUUGAAAUUCAUCUUCUUCUCCGCAGGGACGCCGAAACAAUCCGACGCUGAACGCCGAGAGGCAUUUUAAAAGGUUACAAUGGAUGCCACAAUGAAGGAGUUCCAAGAAAAGUUAAUUGAGGUUGAAAUUGAAGGCGAGAACAUUUUAUUAGCACGGCAGCAGUUAGUUGAAAAUGAUAGGGAAAGGAAUGGAAACAGGGAAGCAUUGACAGCAUUAAGGAAGAGAGCAAAGACAACAAAAUCCAGCGUUCCUUCACCUUUUGAGUCGAUAAUGAGGGAGAUUGAGACGAAACUGUUGGUGAGAGAGGUUUGUUCAACUUGUGGCAAACAUGACGUGAAGGAGACAACUUGGCUUAUGUUUCCUGGCACUGAUAUUUUUGCUAGUGUUCCAUUUCAUGCUGUCCAUACCAUUCUUGAGCAAGAUCAAACUCGACUGGAUUAUGAAGCUAAGAAACUUCAAAGCUAUGUAAAGGAGAAGUCGUUUAUCAUAUCUGAGAAAGGAGUUCUUGCUGACAGGAUCAGCCCUGGUGUUCUUAGAUCUAUGGUCACCUUGUCUGAUACACCAAAGAAAGCUGAGCCAACGGAAUGACUCCUUCCUGCAUUCAAACAACCGGUUCCCCUGCUUCACUCUCCAUUAUUCAUAAUUUUAGACCGAAGUGAAUCUAUAGCGAUAGAAGUGUGCCCGUGCUUAUAUAGAGAUCUUCACCCACAGCUUACCACCGAGGCCAUUAGGCUGCGUUGUGGUGUAUGCUGAUCUUUACCCACAGCUUACAUCUAUAAACAUUUAGUGUAUAUAGAUGUUGUCACUGAAACAAGGGGAGAAAACAACAUAAGAAGUUUGUUGCAUUGAAGAGCAGGUGAGUGUAUCUAGAAAUCUGUCCUAAUUUAAUAUUUGUUUGGUAAUUAAACACCAAAUGUUUUCUUCCUGUGUUGUUUUAGUAGCUUCAUAGGUGACUCUACUCCAUUGAGGUGUAUUAAAUCCUCAUCUAGGCUUGGUGUUGAACCUUCUAAGGAAGUGGUGGUCAGUUCUAUUGAGGAGAUUUACAGCAAAAAACAUGUAAGAUUAGGUUUUAUCCCUAAUAUGAAAUUUGUGUUUCGGUUUAGUUAUCCAAAUUGUAAAAUUAGGUAACUAUAUAGGGCUGCUUUAUAUUUGUAUUUAUGCCCUACUGUUUAUUUUAGGUGGGAAUGUUUUGAUGACUGUAGUGCUUGGAGUCUAAUCUUAAGGCUUAUUUAAUAGUAUGCUUAAUAGGGCUAGCUGGGUGG